rnacentral:tRNA from 1 species
AGUAGGAUGGCUGAGGAUAUGAGGUGAUAAAUUGUAAAUUUAUUUAGGAACUUGGUUGGUUCUUCUACUA